ACAGUGUCCUCCAUCAGUGGUACCUUUGUUACAGUUGAUAAACCUACACUGACACAUCAUAAUCACCCCAAGUCCAUAGUUUACAUUAGGGUU